UACGAAGGGGACUAGCGUUGUUCGGAUUCAUUGGGCGUAAAGGGUGCGUAGGUGGCGUGGUAAGUCGGGUGUGAAAUUUCGGAGCUUAACUCCGAAACUGCAUUCGAUACUGCUGUGCUUGAGGACUGGAGAGGAGACUGGAAUUUACGGUGUAGCAGUGAAAUGCGUAGAGAUCGUAAGGAAGACCAGUGGCGAAGGCGGGUCUCUGGACAGUUCCUGACACUGAGGCACGAAGGCCAGGGGAGCAAACGGG
rnacentral:rRNA from 1 species